UAUGAGUUCAUUCGCGAGUUAAUUUAAGUGCAUUCAUAGUAAUGUAUUACAUUAUUACAAAUAUCUUAAUACAUAUUUAUAAUCAUUCAUAUUGCAAUACGCGGGUCAUAAAGGUCGCAACUGGGGUAUAGUUAUUCUGUUAUACAGGUUAUAUUUUUACCUAUCACUAAUAUAGCGUAUAACUGAUCCUCGUUCUUCAUUUCAAUUGUGCUUCCAUUUGCAUUAU